UUCCGUGAAUUUAGCAGAGAGAGGGGGGUGGUUCCGCGUACAACGUACCACUGUUUCUCCAAGGGGUGAAUGAGAUCAUUCUUGAGGAUCGUUGAAGUUACCGCCAUGACAUGCCAUGGUUUUCUAUGUUAUGAUGGUGUGCCCUGGAACUACGGAAGAUACUUCUUCUUCUUCUUCAUUCUGAGCACGAAGUCACGUGAACUCUCGCACGUAAUGAUUCCCUCGGUGAGAAAGAGAAGAGGAAGAAGAAGAAGAAGAAGAAGGAAGAAGGAAGAAAAAAAGAAAAGGUGAAUAAAAAAAAAAGAAAAGAAGUAAGGAUGUAUGGAUAAAAAUCUCCAGCUAAUUGACGAAACUUUUGGGGGCGCAUGUAAUUCGUGUUAAAGUCGAGGUUAACAUCGACCUUGACCCAAUGCUAUUAAUAAAAAGGGCAUACAUUUGUAGAAAUCUGAUCGUAAAUUCUUACGAUCUGAGUAAAGAUAAAGAUAAAGAAAAAAAUAAAAGAAAAAAAAGAGAACAAAAAUGUUAGACUUGACAAAGAUGUAGAACUCGCAUGAGAUAAAACUUAAUUAAAUGGUAUACUAGCACCUGGAGUCAGAUAAAAUCCUUACAAAAUAAAUGAGAACAAGAGAAUGAGACAAUGGUUGAAUUAAAAAGGAUUAAAUUAAGAGAAAA
rnacentral:lncRNA from 1 species